rnacentral:rRNA from 1 species
GUUUAUGGCCAUACCACCCUGAAUGUGCCCGAUCUCAUCUGAUCUUGGAAGCUAAGCAGGGUCUGACCUGAUGAGUACUUGAAUGGGAGAUCUUAUUGUAUUUAGAUAUUGAAACU